rnacentral:tRNA from 1 species
GAAAAUAUAGUAUAUAAGUACAUUUGAUUUCCAAUUAAAUAGAAGAAUAUUUAUU